UCUAUUUUGGCAGAGUAGUGCGAUGAAUUUAGAAUUCAUAUAUGUAAAUUGUAUUUUACAGGUAGAA
rnacentral:tRNA from 1 species